rnacentral:rRNA from 1 species
UACGAACCGUCCAAACGUUAUUCGGAAUCACUGGGCUUACAGAGUUCGUAGGCGGCGGAGAAAGUAGGGUGUGAAAGCCCUCGGCUCAACCGAGGAAUAGCGCCCUAAACUACUUCGCUUGAGGAGGCUAGAGGUGAGCAGAACAGAUGGUGGAGCGGUGAAAUGCGUUGAUAUCAUCUGGAAUACCGGAGGCGAAGGCGGCUCACUGGGACCUUUCUGACGCUGAGGAGCGAAAGCGUGGGGAGCGAACAGG